ensembl:lncRNA
GGGGGAAGGUGAGGAGGAAGGGGAAGAAGAGGAAGAACAGCAAAAACAGACAAGGCUAAGAGGAGAAAGGAAAGACAUGAAAGGUAAUGAUGAGGAAACUGAUGAUGAAGAAGAAAGGGAAGAAGAGAAUAAGGAAAGGGGAAACGAGAACCAGGAGGAGGAGGAGGCAGAAGAAGAGGGAAUUGAGGAAGAGGAAGAAGGAGAUGAAAAUGAAGAAGAGGAGGGGGAGGAUGAGGAAGAAGAAGAGGAAGAGGAGGAACAAGCAAAAUCAGCAAAGAAAAUAAAAGAGAAGCGACAGAAGCCGCCACCAGACAGAAGCGACAAACAGAAAGAAGCACCCAAACCAGCACCGAGGACCAGGCAGCGAGCUGCAGGGGAGGCGAAAGCUGAGGAGUCUCAGCAGUUCUGGAACGAUGUCCUGCCUCAAUACCUAGACCUGCAAUGACCACGCCCACAGUGAAGCCACACCCACAAAAAUCUCAGCUAAACACGAGCUUCGUCUCACGUUAUUCUUUAUGCUCUGAAAACACAUAACAAGUGUGUCUAAGCACUUUUUUAAAACCCUUACACUGUCCAAGGCAGUCAAGCCAUUUAUACUGCAAUGUAAGUUUUGUCAAGAACUAUUUUCACGUGCGUAUUGAUACACAUGUGGGGCACUUAGCAACACUAAAGUGGUGUAUUUGGGACUACUAGCUUGAGGGCACUGAUGCCAAAAUGUGAACACAUAGACUUCAAUUCAAUUCAAUUCAAUUCAAUUUUAUUUAUAUAGCGUCAAAUCGCAACAACAGUCGCCUCAAGGCGCUUUAUAUUGCACAGUAGAUCGUACAAUAAUAGAUACAGAGAAAAACCCAACAAUCAUAUGACCCCCUAUGAACAAGCACUUUGGCGACAGUGGGAAGGAAAAACUCCCUUUUAACAGGAAGGAACCUUCGGCAGAACCAGGCUCAGGGAGGGGCGGGGCCAUCUGCUGCGACCAGUUGGGGUGAGAGAAGGAAGACGGGAUAAAGGACAUGUUGUGGAAGAGAGACAGCGGUUAAUAACAGAACAAACACCACAGCUGAGUCACCUCUUCCCCCUCCACAGGUCAUCCCAGCAUUUGUUAAAUAAAG